GAUAAGCGCGCAAGGGAUUGCAGCGGCAUCCUUUUUUGAAGCAUGAAAAAAAGAUAUAGCGGAAAGCCCGACCCUUU
rnacentral:sRNA from 1 species